rnacentral:rRNA from 1 species
AACGGGUGAGUAACACGUGGGUGACCUACCUUCGAAUGGGGGAUAACGUCCCGAAAGGGACGCUAAUACCGCAUAACAUCCUGCCUUUGAACAGGCGGAGAUCAAAGCCGGGGAUCGCAAGACCUGGCGUUUGAAGAGGGGCCCGCGUCCGAUUAGCUAGUUGGUGAGGUAACGGCUCACCAAGGCGACGAUCGGUAGCCGGCCUGAGAGGGCGGACGGCCACACUGGGACUGAGACACGGCCCAGACUCC